CCGAGCUUUUGAGCGAUGCAUCAGUUUGGUGGAGGUACACCAUUCGGGUCUGUGACUGGUUUCCGGGCGAUGUUUUCCAACGUGAUCUGCAGCGCCGUCACUGCGACGGUGCUGCUUUUGGCGGCCGCUCCGCCAAGCUGCUGGAGUUACGGUAUCGCUGGGGAAAUUCCCAAGUGGUGGCAAAACACUAUAAUUUACGAGAUCUACCCGCAAUCCUUCUAUGACUCGGAUAAUGAUGGAUUUGGAGACUUGAGAGGAGUUGCGGAAAAAGUUAGCUAUUUGCAGGAACUGAGAGUCGGAGCUAUAUGGCUCAAUCCCUUUUACAAGUCACCGUUGAAGGACAAUGGUUACGAUGUCAGUGAUUUCCGAAAAAUAGAUAAAAGAUACGGCACCAUGGAGGACUUUGAGUAUCUAUUGGAAACUCUCAAGUACACGUCGGGAUCGAAUCCCAUUGAACUCAUCAUGGACUUCGUCCCAAAUCACACGAGCGAUCAGCACGAAUGGUUCAAGAAGUCCGUACAGAAAAUAGAGCCGUACACAGAUUAUUACGUAUGGAAGGAUCCCAAGGGCUAUGACGGGGAAGGAAAACCUAUUCCACCAAAUAACUGGGAAUCCAUCUUUGCCGUCGGUCGACCCGGGUCUGCAUGGGAAUGGAACCCGGAAAGGAAGCAAUUCUACUACCACGCCUUCAUGGUUGAGCAGCCUGAUUUGAAUUUCCGUAACCCAAAAGUCAUUGAAGAGUUAAAGGAUAUCAUGAAGUUCUGGAUGGACAAAGGUGUGCAAGGUUGGAGGCUGGAUGCUGUACCUCAUUUGAUUGAAGACGAAGAACUAAGGGAUGAACACGGAAAUCACGACAAAACUCAAAACCUACCCGAGACUUACAAGAUCAUCGAAGAUUUCAGAGCUUUCAUCGAUGCGUACAGCGAAGAGAAUUAUGUUAAUAUAUUCUUGACAACCGAGGGCUACGCUGGACCUCAAGAAACAGUCAAGUACUAUGGCACAGACGGUCGCGUCGGAGCACAUUUCCCUUUCAACUUCUUACUUCUCACUGACUUCAAUGCCGAGACAAAAGCACUGAACAUCAAGAACACCAUUCAGAGCUACUUGGAUCGUCUAGAUGACUUCAAGUUCCCCAAUUGGGUGUCUGGUAAUCACGAUUGGCCACGAAUUCCAUCCCGCAUGGGUGCAUCGUCUGCCACGGACAUCGUGAACAUCAUGAACCUGCUCCUCCCUGGAACAUCCACAGUAUUCAUGGGUGACGAACUAGGAAUGGACAGUUAUUGGAACUUGGACAGGGAAGCUUGUCCAUCUGGUGUUGGGGACGACUACCGUACUCCCGCAAGGACUCCCUUCCACUGGAACUCCUCUAAGAAUGCAGGUUUUACGCAGGCCAGCAAACCAUGGGUACCGGUGAACCCCGAAUACUACCGCACUAAUGUCGAGGUGGAAAGAACUUUACGCUCUAAAUAUCAGACCUCUCACUUGGAGAACUUUAAGAGUCUCGCAGCCCUCAAGAGAGAAAAUGCUUUCAUGUAUGGCGAACUUAAAAUGUACGAUUUAACCGAAUACGUCUUCGCUUUCACAAGACAGGACGAUAAUAACAUCUACCUGGCCAUAAUGAAUCUUGGCAAAGGUUUCAGUGAUCCGUUUGUUCUGGAAAGAGAGAUCCCGGAUCUGGCACAGGCUUCCCCUCGGAAAAUCGUGAUGAGAAGUGUCAACUUGCAGUCCGAAUGCAGCAACGUCUCUUCCUGUUACGACAGUCUUACCUCUGGUGAAUGGAGCAUGCCACCGAAAUCAGGAAUGGUUCUCUCCUUCAGAAAUUCCGCCACUGACUCCUCAAAAAGUAAGUUGAUGGAGUAUUUUGAAAGCUUCCGCGCUUUUUUAGAGAGCCUUCAAAUGGACGUCAGCUUGCCAGACCCCUCAGAGCUCUUCCAAGCGUAGCCCCAAAGAAUUCAUCCGGAAACGAGGAGAUUUUGGGAUUCAGUACUCACAAACCACUCUUCCAAAAGAGCUGGCGCCCAUCCCGAAGAAACACUCCUAUCUCAGGCUGGAAAAAAUAAAAACGGAGGACGCAGUAACGGCGGUAACGGUGGUAACGGUGGUGGACGUGCAGGCGGAGGCGGCGGAGGCGGUGGUGGACGUGCAGGCGGAGGCGGCGGAGGCGGAGUUGAUUCCAUAAUCGUCCCACAUGGCCCCCACGGCCCAGGCUGCACUUGCUCCGAGGAAGAUCCUCACGAUCACUUCAACUGGUAACAUCACCCCUCCUCUCUCCGCCCCCCAAAAAACAAAUGCUGCAUUCGGAACAUGCACAACGCACACCAUCAACAUCUUUGACACCGGAUAGCUCCGCGCUUUUCCCAUUAUUUGUAAAACAUAAGCUGUGAAAUACAUUUGUAGCAUGCACAUCGCA